ensembl:misc_RNA
UGGCAAGUUAACAUAGCUUUGACUGAUUUGUCUGUUUAGUAGGUAAAUGGGGCUGCCAGUCUGGCAGUUUGCAUUGGCAAUAUAUCACCACUAGACAUUUUAUCUAAAAAUUGGCCAUAGUUUGGGUGAGGUAAGGGUUUGUCAAUUUGUUUUUAUUUUGAAGCCAGGCAUAAUCAUAAUGCUCACAAGCCACUUGGAAAC